AACGAACGCUGGCGGCAUGCCUAACACAUGCAAGUCGAACGAGACCUUCGUGUCUAGUUGCUCACGGGUGCGUAACGCGUGGGAACCUUCCCUUAGGUUCGGAAUAACUCCCCGAAAGGGGUGCUAAUACCGGAUAAUUUCUUCGGACCAAAGAUUUAUCGACUUUGGAUGGGCCCGCGUUGUAUUAGCUUGUUGGUAGUGUAAAAGCCUACCAAGGCGACGAUCCAUAGCUGGUCUGAGAGGAUGAUCAGCCACACUGGGACUGAGACACGGCCCAGACUCCUACGGGAGGCAGGAGUGGGGAAUAUUGGAAAAUGGGCGAAAGCCUGAUCCAGCAAUGCCGCGUGAGUGAUGAAGGCCUUAGGGUUGUAAAGCUCUUUUACCCGGGAUGAUAAUGACAGUACCGGGAGAAUAAGCUCCGGCUAACUCCGUG
rnacentral:rRNA from 1 species